AUGAUAUCACCAGCUCUCUAAUGCAAUAAACGGCUCAUCAAUUGGAGCUAUAUAGGCUCCAGAAUCACAAAAACAUUGUUUCAAUAGGAAACAGAGUCCCAAUCAAGCUUAGAAUUAAUCGUGGCCAUCCGAUCGUGACCAGCUCGCACCAGAGCCGUCCGAUCGUGCAAAACAGGGCCACAGAUCACCUGAUCAUGUUUGAAAUUGCCCAC
rnacentral:lncRNA from 1 species